AUCCAGCCAUGCUUGGACUGGAGGUCUUCCUUGCAGACCCGCCCACAAGCUCCUCGAUUGGCUCUGCCGUUUGUUGUGUGAUUGGCCGUCCCCGCUGUCACUCCAUCUUGCUUGCACACCGGUCUGCUGGAGUUGCCCAGUGAUUGGAUGUCGAUGAUGCUGCGCACACUGAUUGGAUGUGGGAACCGACCGGUGGGUAGGUCCAAUUCCUGGGUCCAUUCAUAGCCAUCUACUGCUUAGUCUUGAAUCUUGAUCUGUUGCACUGCUCAACAAUAAUUUUUCAAAUACGCCACCUGUACAAUCCAAGUACAAGUCCUACUUAUUGGUUAAUAACAAGAAAAUACCAAGGACAACAGAAUACAGACACAUGAAGGUAAUUAUAAGUGG